rnacentral:rRNA from 1 species
AUGAACGCUAGCGACAGGCCUAACACAUGCAAGUCGAGGGGCAUCGGGGCGUAGCAAUACGCUGCCGGCGACCGGCGGAUGGGUGAGUAACGCGUAUGCAACCUGCCUUCAGCAGGGGGAUAGCCCGUUGAAAGACGGAUUAAUACCCCGUAACACAGGGGCUCCGCAUGGAGAUUAUUGUUAAAGGGAUACUUCCUUCGGGGGGUAUUCCGGCUGAAGAUGGGCAUGCGUUCCAUUAGGUAGUUGGUUGAGGUAACGGCUCACCAAGCCUACGAUGGAUAGGGGAACUGAGAGGUUGGUCCCCCACACUGGCACUGAGACACGGACCAGACUCCUACGGGAGGCAGCAGUGAGGAAUCUUGGUCAAUGGACGGAAGUCUGAACCAGCCAUGUCGCGUGAAGGAGGACGGCCCUAAGGGUUGUAAACUUCUUUUGCAGCGGAAUAAAGUAUUCCACGAGAUGGGAUAUUGCAAGUACGCUGCGAAUAAGGAUCGGCUAACUCCGUG